CCGAACCGACUAAUGUUGAAAAAUUAGCGGAUGACUUGUGGCUGGGGGUGAAAGGCCAAUCAAACCGGGAGAUAGCUGGUUCUCCCCGAAAGCUAUUUAGGUAGCGCCUCGUGAACUCAUCUCCGGGGGUAGAGCACUGUUUCGGCAAGGGGGUCAUCCCGACUUACCAACCCGAUGCAAACUGCGAAUACCGGAGAAUGUUAUCACGGGAGACACACGGCGGGUGCUAACGUCCGUCGUGAAGAGGGAAACAACCCAGACCGCCAGCUAAGGUCCCAAAGUCAUGGUUAAGUGGGAAACGAUGUGGGAAGGCCCAGACAGCCAGGAUGUUGGCUUAGAAGCAGCCAUCAUUUAAAGAAAGCGUAAUAGCUCACUGGUCGAGUCGGCCUGCGCGGAAGAUGUAACGGGGCUAAACCAUGCACCGAAGCUGCGGCAGCGACGCUUAUGCGUUGUUGGGUAGGGGAGCGUUCUGUAAGCCUGUGAAGGUGUACUGUGAGGUAUGCUGGAGGUAUCAGAAGUGCGAAUGCUGACAUAAGUAACGAUAAAGCGGGUGAAAAGCCCGCUCGCCGGAAGACCAAGGGUUCCUGUCCAACGUUAAUCGGGGCAGGGUGAGUCGACCCCUAAGGCGAGGCCGAAAGGCGUAGUCGAUGGGAAACAGGUUAAUAUUCCUGUACUUGGUGUUACUGCGAAGGGGGGACGGAGAAGGCUAUGUUGGCCGGGCGACGGUUGUCCCGGUUUAAGCGUGUAGGCUGGUUUUCCAGGCAAAUCCGGAAAAUCAAGGCUGAGGCGUGAUGACGAGGCACUACGGUGCUGAAGCAACAAAUGCCCUGCUUCCAGGAAAAGCCUCUAAGCAUCAGGUAACAUCAAAUCGUACCCCAAACCGACACAGGUGGUCAGGUAGAGAAUACCAAGGCGCUUGAGAGAACUCGGGUGAAGGAACUAGGCAAAAUGGUGCCGUAACUUCGGGAGAAGG
rnacentral:rRNA from 1 species